rnacentral:lncRNA from 1 species
CCCAACAUCAUAACUCUGUCUCCUCUUGGUUUAAAUGAAUCUUUCUCUACAUCUAAAGAAUGAACAACCAUGAAAAUUAUGGAUGGAUAAGGUUUGUCCAUAAUUAAUUUCUCCAAUAUAAUAUGGAUAUAAACAACAUGGUGUUUCGUAAUGUAUGAGUGAAGGUGCUAGAGGUUUUACCCAAAUCCUUCAUCUCAAAUUCCGUCAUUUGAUGAUUAUAUACUGCCCAACAACGUGUCCAGCCAUGACAAUGUGUCCAUUGUUGAAACCGUUUGGAGCCCCUGUCCUGUAGUCCAAGCCUCGCCUUACAUGCUUACUCAGCAUGUCAGGAUGACCGAAGAAACUCCUUCAAGUGAGGAGACAACCCAUCGUAUAUGUCGCUGAAGGCUAGGCUUUGCCUCCGAAGAGGGGGUUCUCCGUUGUCAACACCAUCAACUCAACUCUUCAACACCGUCA